rnacentral:rRNA from 1 species
AUUGAACGCUGGCGGCAUGCCUUACACAUGCAAGUCGAACGGCAGCAUGAUCUAGCUUGCUAGAUUGAUGGCGAGUGGCGAACGGGUGAGUAAUACAUCGGAACGUGCCCUGUAGUGGGGGAUAACUAGUCGAAAGAUUAGCUAAUACCGCAUACGACCUGAGGGUGAAAGUGGGGGACCGCAAGGCCUCAUGCUAUAGGAGCGGCCGAUGUCUGAUUAGCUAGUUGGUGAGGUAAAGGCUCACCAGGGCGACGAUCAGUAGCUGGUCUGAGAGGACGAUCAGCCACACUGGGACUGAGACACGGCCCAGACUCCUACGGGAGGCAGCAGUGGGGAAUUUUGGACAAUGGGCGAAAGCCUGAUCCAGCAAUGCCGCGUGUGUGAAGAAGGCCUUCGGGUUGUAAAGCACUUUUGUCCGGAAAGAAAUGGCUCUGGUUAAUACCUGGGGUCGAUGACGGUACCGGAAGAAUAAGGACCGGCUAACUACGUG